rnacentral:rRNA from 1 species
GGGUUGUGAGGUUAAGCGACUAAGCGUACACGGUGGAUGCCCUGGCAGUCAGAGGCGAUGAAGGACGUGCUAAUCUGCGAUAAGCGUCGGUAAGGUGAUAUGAACCGUUAUAACCGGCGAUUUCCGAAUGGGGAAACCCAGUGUGAUUCGUCACACUAUCAUUAACUGAAUCCAUAGGUUAAUGAGGCGAACCGGGGGAACUGAAACAUCUAAGUACCCCGAGGAAAAGAAAUCAACCGAGAUUCCCCCAGUAGCGGCGAGCGAACGGGGAGCAGCCCAGAGCCUGAAUCAGUGUGUGUGUUAGUGGAAGCGUCUGGAAAGGCGCGCGAUACAGGGUGACAGCCCCGUACACAAAAAUGCACAUGCUGUGAGCUCGAUGAGUAGGGCGGGACACGUGGUAUCCUGUCUGAAUAUGGGGGGACCAUCCUCCAAGGCUAAAUACUCCUGACUGACCGAUAGUGAACCAGUACCGUGAGGGAAAGGCGAAAAGAACCCCGGCGAGGGGAGUGAAAAAGAACCUGAAACCGUGUACGUACAAGCAGUGGGAGCCUCUUUAUGGGGUGACUGCGUACCUUUUGUAUAAUGGGUCAGCGACUUAUAUUCUGUAGCAAGGUUAACCGAAUAGGGGAGCCGAAGGGAAACCGAGUCUUAACUGGGCGUUAAGUUGCAGGGUAUAGACCCGAAACCCGGUGAUCUAGCCAUGGGCAGGUUGAAGGUUGGGUAACACUAACUGGAGGACCGAACCGACUAAUGUUGAAAAAUUAGCGGAUGACUUGUGGCUGGGGGUGAAAGGCCAAUCAAACCGGGAGAUAGCUGGUUCUCCCCGAAAGCUAUUUAGGUAGCGCCUCGUGAAUUCAUCUCCGGGGGUAGAGCACUGUUUCGGCAAGGGGGUCAUCCCGACUUACCAACCCGAUGCAAACUGCGAAUACCGGAGAAUGUUAUCACGGGAGACACACGGCGGGUGCUAACGUCCGUCGUGAAGAGGGAAACAACCCAGACCGCCAGCUAAGGUCCCAAAGUCAUGGUUAAGUGGGAAACGAUGUGGGAAGGCCCAGACAGCCAGGAUGUUGGCUUAGAAGCAGCCAUCAUUUAAAGAAAGCGUAAUAGCUCACUGGUCGAGUCGGCCUGCGCGGAAGAUGUAACGGGGCUAAACCAUGCACCGAAGCUGCGGCAGCGACACUAUGUGUUGUUGGGUAGGGGAGCGUUCUGUAAGCCUGUGAAGGUGUGCUGUGAGGUAUGCUGGAGGUAUCAGAAGUGCGAAUGCUGACAUAAGUAACGAUAAAGCGGGUGAAAAGCCCGCUCGCCGGAAGACCAAGGGUUCCUGUCCAACGUUAAUCGGGGCAGGGUGAGUCGACCCCUAAGGCGAGGCCGAAAGGCGUAGUCGAUGGGAAACAGGUUAAUAUUCCUGUACUUGGUGUUACUGCGAAGGGGGGACGGAGAAGGCUAUGUUGGCCGGGCGACGGUUGUCCCGGUUUAAGCGUGUAGGCUGGUUUUCCAGGCAAAUCCGGAAAAUCAAGGCUGAGGCGUGAUGACGAGGCACUACGGUGCUGAAGUAACAAAUGCCCUGCUUCCAGGAAAAGCCUCUAAGCAUCAGGUAACAUCAAAUCGUACCCCAAACCGACACAGGUGGUCAGGUAGAGAAUACCAAGGCGCUUGAGAGAACUCGGGUGAAGGAACUAGGCAAAAUGGUGCCGUAACUUCGGGAGAAGGCACGCUGAUAUGUAGGUGAAGCGACUUGCUCGUGGAGCUGAAAUCAGUCGAAGAUACCAGCUGGCUGCAACUGUUUAUUAAAAACACAGCACUGUGCAAACACGAAAGUGGACGUAUACGGUGUGACGCCUGCCCGGUGCCGGAAGGUUAAUUGAUGGGGUCAGCGCAAGCGAAGCUCUUGAUCGAAGCCCCGGUAAACGGCGGCCGUAACUAUAACGGUCCUAAGGUAGCGAAAUUCCUUGUCGGGUAAGUUCCGACCUGCACGAAUGGCGUAAUGAUGGCCAGGCUGUCUCCACCCGAGACUCAGUGAAAUUGAACUCGCUGUGAAGAUGCAGUGUACCCGCGGCAAGACGGAAAGACCCCGUGAACCUUUACUAUAGCUUGACACUGAACAUUGAGCCUUGAUGUGUAGGAUAGGUGGGAGGCUUUGAAGUGUGGACGCCAGUCUGCAUGGAGCCGACCUUGAAAUACCACCCUUUAAUGUUUGAUGUUCUAACGUUGACCCGUGAUCCGGGUUGCGGACAGUGUCUGGUGGGUAGUUUGACUGGGGCGGUCUCCUCCUAAAGAGUAACGGAGGAGCACGAAGGUUGGCUAAUCCUGGUCGGACAUCAGGAGGUUAGUGCAAUGGCAUAAGCCAGCUUGACUGCGAGCGUGACGGCGCGAGCAGGUGCGAAAGCAGGUCAUAGUGAUCCGGUGGUUCUGAAUGGAAGGGCCAUCGCUCAACGGAUAAAAGGUACUCCGGGGAUAACAGGCUGAUACCGCCCAAGAGUUCAUAUCGACGGCGGUGUUUGGCACCUCGAUGUCGGCUCAUCACAUCCUGGGGCUGAAGUAGGUCCCAAGGGUAUGGCUGUUCGCCAUUUAAAGUGGUACGCGAGCUGGGUUUAGAACGUCGUGAGACAGUUCGGUCCCUAUCUGCCGUGGGCGCUGGAGAACUGAGGGGGGCUGCUCCUAGUACGAGAGGACCGGAGUGGACGCAUCACUGGUGUUCGGGUUGUCAUGCCAAUGGCACUGCCCGGUAGCUAAAUGCGGAAGAGAUAAGUGCUGAAAGCAUCUAAGCACGAAACUUGCCCCGAGAUGAGUUCUCCCUGACCCUUUAAGGGUCCUGAAGGAACGUUGAAGACGACGACGUUGAUAGGCCGGGUGUGUAAGCGCAGCGAUGCGUUGAGCUAACCGGUACUAAUGAACCGUGAGGCUUAACCUUACAACGCCGAAGCUGUU